GACGAACGCUGGCGGCGUGCUUAACACAUGCAAGUCGAACGUGAUUUUUGUGGAAAUUCUUUUCGGAAUGGAAAUGAAAUGAAAUUGGCGAACGAGGGAGUAACACCUGAUCAACCUACCGUACUUCAGGGGAUAAUUGUUGUGGACAACCAUUGCUACCGCCGGAGACCGCAUAAUCGUGGGAUCUCGGGGUCACCGAUUAUUUUAUGUGAGAAGGACUCCCUCCUGAUUGACUAGUUGGAAGGGGAAGGGCCUGCCCAGGCAAGUAAUGAUCACCAGCCUGACAGGAAGGUUGGUCACAUUGGAACUGACAGAGACACCGCCUCCUUCCUACGGGACAGUGGGGAAUAUUGCUUGUGGGGGGAACCCUGAUGGACGACGCCCGCUGAGUGAGAAAUUUUCGAAUCGUAUUGCUCUGUCUAUGAGAAGUAAUGACGGAUGAUAGGAGGAAGCCCCGGCCCAUACCUGCCUACAUGCCCGGUAAUACGUAAGGGGCGAGGUGUUGUCCGGAAUUAUUGAAUUACUGGGGGUCAUAGGCGUGUUUUUUAACUCUGGUGUGAAGACGUGAGGCCUCCCCGCUCUACCCGCAUCGUGCUGCUGAUCCUGAGUGAAGGAGAUGAUAGAGGGGAUCCUAGUGUUCCGGUGGUAUGCGUAGAUGCAUGAUAAUACGAGGAGCGAAGGCGACUAUCUGGACUUUCACUGACGCUCUGUACUGAGCGUGGGGAGCGUACGGGAUUACAUACACUGGUACCCUAGGACGCAUUCGACAAUGUAUAUCAGCAUAUCAAUACUAUCGACCUCGCGACAGAGACGGGUACACAGGUAUGUUCUUUUGUUCAGUGUUAAGUUAGUAACUA
rnacentral:rRNA from 1 species